CGCAAGGAAGCUGAUUGG
rnacentral:siRNA from 1 species